GACGAACGCUGGCGGCGCGCUUAACACAUGCAAGUCGAGCGAGAACCAGGGCUUCGGCCCGUGGGGACAGCGGCGAACGGGUGAGUAACACGUGGGUCAUCUGCCCUCGGCACCGGAAUAGCCCGGGGAAAACCCGGAUUAAAUGCCGGAUGGCCCGACCGCCCCUACGGGGCAGUCGGAAAAGGUAGCUUCGGCCUCCGGCCGAGGAUGAGCCCGNGGCGGAUUAGCUAGUUGGUGGGGUAAUGGCCCACCAAGACGANGAUCGGUAUCCGGCCUGAGAGGGCGCACGGACACACUGGAACUGAAACACGGUCCAGACUCCUACGGGAGGCAGCAGUGGGGAAUUUUGCGCAAUGGGGGAAACCCUGACGCAGCAACGCCGCGUGGAGGAUGAAGUAUCUUGGUACGUAAACU
rnacentral:rRNA from 1 species